UACGGGGGGGGCAAGCGUUGUUCGGAAUUACUGGGCGUAAAGGGCUCGUAGGCGGCCAACUAAGUCAGACGUGAAAUCCCUCGGCUUAACCGGGGAACUGCAUCUGAAACUGCUUUGCUUGAGUCCUGGAGGGGGUAGUGGAAUUCCCAGUGUAGCGGUGAAAUGCGUAGAUAUUGGGAGGAACACCGGUGGCGAAGGCGGCUACCUGGACAGUGACUGACGCUGAGGCGCGAAAGCUAGGGGAGCGAACGGG
rnacentral:rRNA from 1 species